GAGUUUGNUCCUGGCUCAGGAUGAACGCUGGCGGCGUGCCUAACACAUGCAAGUCGAGCGUGAAGGUUAUGACAGAUUCUUCGGAUGAUGGAUUGACUGGAAAGCGGCGGACGGGUGAGUAACGCGUGGGUAACCUGCCCUACACACAGGGAUAGCCAUUGGAAACGAUGAUUAAUACCUGAUAACACAAAGACAACGCAUGUUGUUUUUGUCAAAGAUUUAUCGGUGUAGGAUGGACCCGCGUCUGAUUAGCUAGUUGGUAAGGUAACGGCUUACCAAGGCGACGAUCAGUAGCCGACCUGAGAGGGUGAUCGGCCACACUGGAACUGAGACACGGUCCAGACUCCUACGGGAGGCAGCAGUGGGGAAUAUUGCACAAUGGGCGCAAGCCUGAUGCAGCAACGCCGCGUGAACGAAGAAGGUCUUCGGAUCGUAAAGUUCUUUUCUUAGGGAAGGAAAAUGACGGUACCUAAGGAAUAAGCACCGGCUAAAUACGUGCCAGCAGCCGCGGUAAUACGUAUGGUGCAAGCGUUAUCCGGAAUCACUGGGCGUAAAGGGUACGUAGGCGGUUUUGCAAGUCAGAAGUGAAAGGCUACAGCUCAACUGUAGUAAGCUUUUGAAACUGCAAGACUAGAGUGCAGGAGAGGCAAGUGGAAUUUCCUAGUGUAGAGGUGAAAUUCGUAGAUAUUAGGAGGAACACCAGUGGCGAANGCGACUUGCUGGACUGUAACUGACGCUGAAGGUACGAAAGCGUGGGGAGCGAACAGGAUUAGAUACCCUGGGUAGUCCACGCCCGUAACGAUGANUACUAGGUGGUCGGGGGGUCGAAUCCUCGGGUGCCGCCAGUUAACACAUUAAAGAAUUCCCNCCUGGGGGAAGUACNGUCGCAAGACUNGAAAACUUCAAAGGAAUUUGGACGGGGGACCCCGCACAAACCAGCGGAACAUUGUGGGUUUUAUUUCGAAGCAACGCGGAANAAANCCUUUCNCA
rnacentral:rRNA from 1 species